UACGGGGGUGGCAAGCGUUGUCCGGAAUUACUAGGCGUAAAGGGCAGGUAGGCGGAUAUUCAAGUCAGGCGUUAAAGGCAUCAGCUCAACUGGUGUACGGCGUUUGAAACUGGAUAUCUAGAGUCAGGUAGAGGUAGAUGGAAUUCCUAGUGUAGCGGUGGAAUGCGCAGAGAUUAGGAAGAACACCAAAGGCGAAGGCAAUCUACUGGGCCAUGACUGACGCUAAACUGCGAAGGUGUGGGUAUCAAACAGGAUUAGAUACCCUGGUAGUCCACACAGUAAACGAUAUACACUAGAUGUCGGGGGGAAUCUCCUUCGGUGUCGUAGUUAACGCGAUAAGUGUAUCGCCUGGGGAGUACGAUCGCAAGGUUGAA
rnacentral:rRNA from 1 species